GUAAGUUAGUGGCGGACGGGUGAGUAACGGCGUGGGUAACCUGCCUCACAUUGGGGGAUAACGAUUGGAAACGAUCGCUAAUACCGCAUAAGACCACGGCACCGCAUGGUGCUGAGGUAAAAACUCCGGUGAUGUGAGAUGGACCCGCGUCUGAUUAGCCAGUUGGCGGGUAACGGCCACCAAGCUACGAUCAGUAGCCGACCUGAGAGGGUGAUCGGCCACAUUGGGACUGAGACACGGCCCAAACUCCUACGGGAGGCAGCAGUGGGGAAUAUUGCACAAUGGAGGAAACUCUGAUGCAGCGAACCGCCGCGUGAGUGAAGAAGUAUCUCGGUAUGUAAAGCUCUAUCAGCAGGAAAGAAAAUGACGGUACCUGACUAAGAAGCCCCGGCUAACUACGUGCCAGCAGCAGC
rnacentral:rRNA from 1 species